rnacentral:lncRNA from 1 species
CUCACCCCUCCAGGCACUGUGCCAGCGUCAGGGAACCAGAGCACAGAAGAAUUUGAAUUUAAAGGAGAGGAAAUUUAGACGCAGUCAUGAAAGUGCAGAGAAGUGAUUAAAAAUCACAGCAUCUCUACAUCUCUUUUCUGCUAAAAUUUUACCCCAGGAAACAUAACGUAAUUAGCUAAUCCUGCCUGCUGAAUAGUCUUGUAGUGUCAGCCCCCUCAUAACGUCUCCUGCUGGAGUUACAAUGCCUCACGGUGAUGGGACAUCACUACCACUUCUGAUGGACAUCCACUCUGAGUUGCAGCUGCCCUCUGCUUCUGGCUUAGCUGUGAACUUGGAAUUGAAUAUAAUAAAGAUCAUUUCAAAACUGCUGAAAUUACAAAAACUGCGCAUACACGCACAGUUCUGCCAGAUGAUAUUGCAGUGCAAAGCCCACUCUCACAGCACAUACAGUGUCUUCAUUCAGCAGGUGCAGCCCUGGUUAGUUCUGAGGCUCUCACACAAAAAGCCCAGCAAGCCUGGCCUCAACCACAGAGCUCUCCGGAUGCUGAAGAGAAGAACCCAGACUUUCUAAUCUCCUGACCAAAU